rnacentral:tRNA from 1 species
AAUUUCGUAGCUCAAUUGGUAGAGUAUCGGUAUUUACACCGAAGGUUGAAGGUUCGAAUCCUUUCGAAAUUACAA